rnacentral:lncRNA from 1 species
AGAAUAUAGUCUCAUAUUAAACAUAUAUUUUUCUCGAAAUUUUUAAAAUUCGACACACACAUCUUAGGUCCUCAAUACAAUUAUCUGUUGCAUGUCAUGCCGUUUUAUAAUGUAUUGAGAAACUUCGACAGUCUCGGACCAAAACACUAUUUCCCUGUUAUCCCCGCUCGACCCAGCUACACUCUUAUUACCUGAAAGGAAUUGUGAAGCAAAGGGUGAGCACAAAAAGCCCAAUAAAGAAUAUCAUGACUAAAGAUAAUUAAAUUAUCAAUAGCCUUAGUCAAUA